GAUCAUUAYCGUAUAACAGAGGCGCGAGGGCUGUCGCUGACUUUUCAAGUCGUSCACGCCCGAGCGCUCUCACACAGUCCACGUCACCCCUAUGUGCACCACCGCGUGGGUCCCCCUUUCAAGGGGGGCUCGCGUUUUCACACAAACUUGAAGUAGUGUAGAAUGUCUUUUUUUGCGAUGACACGCAAUCAAUACAACUUUCAACAACGGAUCUCUUGGCUCUCGCAUCGAUGAAGAACGCAGCGAAAUGCGAUACGUAAUGUGAAUUGCAGAAUUCAGUGAAUCAUCGAAUCUUUGAACGCACCUUGCGCCCCUUGGCAUUCCGAGGGGCACACCCGUUUGAGUGUCGUGAAAUUCUCAAAACCCCUUCCUUUGCCGGAAUGGAUUUUGGACUUGGAGGCCUUUUGCUGGUUUCACCUCGAAGCCAGCUCCUCCUAAAUGGAUUAGUGGGGUCUGCUUUGCCGAUCCUUGACGUGAUAAGAUGCUUCUACGUCUCGGGUUAUUGGCACUGUGCCUCUGCUUCUAACCGUCUCUUUUGACAACGAUGGUGUUCCGGUCACCGCCGAUUCUUCGGUGGGAGGCUUGACCCACAAAACGACCUUGACCUCAAAUCGGGUGAGACUACCCGCUGAACUUAA
rnacentral:rRNA from 1 species